rnacentral:rRNA from 1 species
UACGAGGGGGGCAAGCGUUGUUCGGAAUUAUUGGGCGUAAAGGGCGCGUAGGCGGUCUGACAAGUCUUGUGUGAAAUCUCUGGGCUCAACCCAGAGUCUGCACAGGAAACUGUCGGGCUAGAGUAUGGGAGAGGUGCGUGGAAUUUCCGGUGUAGCGGUGAAAUGCGUAGAUAUCGGAAGGAACACCUGUGGCGAAAGCGGCUCACUGGACCACAACUGACGCUGAGGCGCGAAAGCUAGGGGAGCAAACAGGG